rnacentral:rRNA from 1 species
UACGGAGGGUGCAAGCGUUGUCCGGAUUUAUUGGGUUUAAAGGGUGCGUAGGCGGCCUUUUAAGUCAGUGGUGAAAGCCAACAGCUCAACUGUUGAACUGCCAUUGAUACUGAAAGGCUUGAGUACAGACGAGGUAGGCGGAAUUGAAGAUGUAGCGGUGAAAUGCAUAGAUAUCUUCAAGAACACCGAUUGCGUAGGCAGCUUACUAGGCUGUAACUGACGCUGAGGCACGAAAGCGUGGGGAGCGAACAGG